CGCAAUUCAUAUUGGUAAGUGACUAAGUUAUAGUAGGCAAUUCCUAGUAGUCACUAAUAGUAGUUAAUAAAUAAUUCACAGUGGUUACUAACUAAUUCAGAGUAAAUACACCUGUGCUUUAAUGAAUCUGCCUGUCUAGAGUUUUUAGGAUGUAAUCCUAAUCCGGUUGCAGCGCAGCUCCGCGGCCAGCAGGUGUCGCGCUUUCAUCGUCCCGUUUGUCCCAAUGACUUCUCCAGGUAAAUGAACCCAAACAAAUCCCCUCUCCUUCCGCCUUCAUCCGCCUCUCUGUAGCACGUUAGUGUGCGCAGGAUAUCCCAGCGGUUCUCCCCGGAGCUCGAGCCUCCUGCGCGCGGUCAGGGAUGAUCCAGCGACGGACUGGAGCCGAGAAAGCUGGAAUACCGGGGCUUAAACCCGCUGCUGCGGCUCUGAUCCAGCGGUCUGGACUGACCUGCGGACCGGCCAGUAAAGUUCGGUUGUGAAGCAGAAAGAGGAGAAGGAGAGGGACAAACACACACACACACACACACACACACAGGUGGGGAAAACACGGGUUCUUCCCCAACUUAUCCCUGGACGGUUCCUCCAGUUUAAACUCUUAACAGCGGGUGGAGGAGGCAGCGGGUGUUCGGGGCGAUGCAGCUCCGCGGCGGGUCCGCCUGGGAAUAACAGGAAUUCGGACAUUCCCAACUUCACUAAACAGACUCUGACUCCUCCCUCCCUCUCUUCUCUCUAUGAUAUGACAUCACCCAGCGGUUACCACAGAAACCGGCGCUCCACUGCAGACAGUUGACAGCCAGGCAGGUGCUGAGAUGGCUGCCCAGGUAGAAAUUGAGGGUAGCCGCCUACAUCUGAGUCCUCUGACGGACUCUAGUAAUAAAGGCCUUAUGGAGGGCUCACCUGGAUCACAGUCUUCUCUCAUUAUCAACCCAGAGCCAAGGAAACCUUUACCAGGCCCUAAACCCAGACUAACUCCAAAACCUUUUUCUGUGGAAAGAAACCCCACGAUACGACCCAUUCUAGCCCCUAAACCAAACCCCAAACCUAGACCUGAAUCUACUCGACCAGUUUCCUCCAAACCGGACAAACCAGAACCUCCUAGCACCUACAAACCACAGCCAGUAAGCAAACCCAGGCCAACAGCUGGACGACCAGCUUCGACCACUUUUAAACCUGGACCAAAGCCCAGUCCAGGCCAAACCACCAAGCCAGAAGCCCAGGUCUUGAAGCCAGUUCCUACUUCCGUAUCUACAGAACCCAAAAAACCGACUUCAACUCCAACUGUAAGUGUGCUGAGAAGAACCAGCUUGGGAACCUCCACAACUCAGCCCAAGCCAGGCCUCCACCCACCGCGUCCUGCUGCAGAGUGGUCCGGGGCCUCCAGACCCAAACCAGCAGGUACUUCAAUGACGAGGGCCAAAUCCAUGGGCUAUUUACCUGAAGCUGGACUUGAAGGAGAAGGAGAUAAGGAAGCAAAGGAUGUCCUCAGACCCAAUGAAGGUGGUCUCAAGAACUCCAGACCCAGACCAGUGUCUGCCAUUUUUCCUGCAGAUACAACCCAGCAGGAGCCCAAAUCCACAGCGCCCACUCCAGCACCCCGCUGGACCCCAAGACGUCCACUUUCAGCAGAUCUCACUUCUAAAUUCGAGUCCAUUGGACUUUCUCUGCACCGGCAAAAGCCUACAACAGCAGACAGCAAGGAGAACACUCCAGAACCUCCAACGCAAGACAGCUCUACUGCUCAGGAAGGAGUGGGUGAAGCCAACAGCAAAGAGAAAGACCAACCCGAGAACGAAGGAAAGAGCAAAUCAUCCGUUUUGGAGAAAAGAGCGCCAGAAGGGGAGGACACAAAACCUGAGGAAAAGGGUGGAAGUAUUGUAAAGAGGAGGAUCAGCCUUCUUCUAGACUCCUCCUCAUCCUCCUUCUCUCUGCCUGCUACUAAAGGGGCGGAGCCACGGUCUCCAGUGCAGCCAAUCCCAGACACAGAUGGAGCCAUAGGGGUCAAACAACGAAUCAAGGAGUUGACCGAGGAUAGUUCCACUGCACCGACUCCGCCCCAGAAACCCCAGUUUAAGCCACGCCCACUGCCAUCAGAUCUCACGAAACGGUUUGUGUCAGAGGUGGAAAGCCCCAGCUCCGGCGAGGCUAAAAGCCUUCAGGAGAGUGCUGAAGAGCUCAACAAGAAGUUUGAGGACCCUUUUACCACUGUGCAAUCAAAGCCCCCAGAAGACAAGAAGCCACAAGACAUUCAAGACUCCUCCAUCCAGCCUUCUAGCAACAGUGUUGGAAUGCAAACAGUCAGAGCUUCUCUGUUUGAUAAUGUGGUGGAAAGACACAAUGUUCAGAUGGUGGAGGACAGUAGCAGUUCCGCAAGUCCAGCAGUAAAACCUUUACCCAGACGAACCCUUUCUCUCCGGGCUAAAGCAGCAGACAGUACGCCCAAGCUUCUGGAGGAUGCAGAGGAUGGUAGUUUGGUCACUGCAACUUAUAGGCAGCCCGAGUCUCCAUCCAGUCCUCAGCGAGUGGAGCAUGUUUUUGACACUCUGGCUCCUGUUGAGGGGAUCCGUGCUGUCAGUGAAAGUGUACCAUCCGCUCACUUAGAGGACCGGGCCCUUACGCUCCGUUCACGAAAGUCAGAAGGGUCCGAAAGGACACGGCAGGCAAGUGGAGGGCAGGUUGAAGAUAGCAGCUUAAGCCUGGGCUCUAAAAAACAGUCUGAGACCUCGAAUCCCAGAGUUCUCAGAGUGGGGGCGAUGCAGAAGUGGGGCCGUUCAGAAGUUGUGGAUCCUGAGAAAGAAAAGCAGAAAGAGUUAGUGAGGAACAUGGAAGAAGAAAUACAGAGACAGCUGAAGGUUCACAUGGCUGCUCAAGCUGAAUUGGAAGAGGAGGAGCGACAGAGUAAGAUGGAGCAGCAGAAACAGAUGGAAGAGGAGAGGCAGAGGCAGUUUGAGGCAGAAAGACAGAGACAGAUGGAGGCGGAGAGGCAGAGGAAGAUGGAGGCGGAGAGGCAGAGGCAGCUGGAGGCGGAGAGACAGAGGCAGAUGGAGGCGGAGAGGCAGAGGCAGAUGGAGGCGGAGAGGCAGAGGCAGCUGGAGGCG
rnacentral:lncRNA from 1 species